AGAUUGAACGCUGGCGGCAUGCCUUACACAUGCAAGUCGAACGGCAGCACGGGAGCAAUCCUGGUGGCGAGUGGCGAACGGGUGAGUAAUACAUCGGAACGUGCCCAAUCGUGGGGGAUAACGCAGCGAAAGCUGUGCUAAUACCGCAAUAAGAUCUACGGAUGAAAGCAGGGGAUCGCAAGACCUUGCGCGAAUGGAGCGGCCGAGUGGCAGAUUAGGUAGUUGGUGAGGUAAGGCUCACCAAGCCUUCGAUCUGUAGCUGGUCUGGAGAGGACGACCGAGCCACACGUGGGACUGAGACCGACCGGCCCAGACUCCGUACGGAGGCAG
rnacentral:rRNA from 1 species